GACGAACCGUGCGAACGUUGUUCGGAAUCACUGGGCUUAAAGGGCGCGUAGGCGGGCUAUCAAGUCUGGGGUGAAAUGCCGCGGCUCAACCGUGGAACUGCCUCAGAUACUGACGGCCUUGAGGAAGGUAGGGGCAUGCGGAACUGUAGGUGGAGCGGUGAAAUGCGUUGAUAUCUACAGGAACUCCGGUGGCGAAAGCGGCGUGCUGGACCUUUUCUGACGCUGAGGCGCGAAAGCUAGGGGAGCAAACGGG
rnacentral:rRNA from 1 species